rnacentral:rRNA from 1 species
GACGAACGCUGGCGGCGUGCUUAACACAUGCAAGUCGAACGGUAAGGCCCUGCUUUUGUGGGGUGCUCGAGUGGCGAACGGGUGAGUAACACUUGAGUAACCUGCCAUUGACUUUGGUAUAACUUCAGGAAACUUGGGCUAAUACCGGAUAGGAGCUCCUGCUGCAUGGUGGGGGUGGGAUAGUUUCGGCGGUUGGGGAUGGACUCGCGGCUUAUCAGCUUGUUGGUGGGGUAGUGGCUUACCAAGGCUUUGCCGGGUAGCCGGCCUGAGAGGAUGACCUGCCAAGUUAGAACGGGAAUGCGACACGGCCCACACUGGGACGCAACGCAGGAGUAGGUUACACUGUGGACGGAGGCAUGGUGCAGUACAGCAGUGUGCGGGGUGUCGGGAUGCGGUUAGUAAACCACAGUCGCCUGUGACGAAGCGUGAAUGACGUUAAUGGGUGAAGAAGCACCGGCUAACUACGUG